UGCGCAGGCGGAGGAUUAAGUCAGUGGUGAAAUCUCACAGCUCAACUGUGAAACUGCCAUUGAAACUGAUUUUCUUGAAUACGGUUGAGGUAGGCGGAAUACGUUAUGUAGCGGUGAAAUGCUUAGAUAUAACGUAGAACACCGAUUGCGAAGGCAGCUUACUAAGCCGUUAUUGACGCUGAGGCACGAAAGCGUGGGGAGCGAACAGGAUUAGAUACCCUGGUAGUCC
rnacentral:rRNA from 1 species